UGGGGGAUAUUGCACAAUGGGCGAAAGCCUGAUGCAGCGACGCCGCGUGGGGGAUGAAGGCUUUCGGGUUGUAAACCUCUUUCGCUAUCGAACAAGGCCCGCUUAGGGUGGGUUGAGGGUAGGUGGAGAAGAAGCGCCGGCUAACUACGUGCCAGCAGCCGCGGUAAUACGUAGGGCGCGAGCGUUGUCCGGAAUUAUUGGGCGUAAAGGGCUUGUAGGCGGCUUGUUGCGCCUGCUGUGAAAACGCGGGGCUUAACUUCGCGCGUGCAGUGGGUACGGGCAGGCUUGAGUGUGGUAGGGGUGACUGGAAUUCCAGGUGUAGCGGUGGAAUGCGCGGAUAUCUGGAGGAACACCGAUGGCGAAGGCAGGUCACUGGGCCAUUACUGACGCUGAGGAGCGAAAGCAUGGGUAGCGAACAGG
rnacentral:rRNA from 1 species